UCCACCGAGAGGUGGAAUCUGAAGGAAGCUGGAGGCAAAUCUCUGGUCUGACGAACAGAAAUCACAUCAGGCGCAAGUUGAUGGAUAAGGUUGCAAUACAAACUGAAGUCCAAUAACUACUCAGAAUCAACAGCGUAAAUGUGGCAGAUAGAUGGAGAGAAAGAUUGUGCU
rnacentral:ncRNA from 1 species